GAGUUUGAUCCUGGCUCAGGAUAAACGCUGGCGGCGCACAUAAGACAUGCAAGUCGAACGGACUUAACCAUUAGUUUACUAUUGGAGCGGUUAGUGGCGGACUGGUGAGUAACACGUAAGCAACCUGCCUAUCAGAGGGGAACAACAGUUAGAAAUGACUGCUAAUACCGCAUAUGCCUUGAGUUACGCAUGUAACGAAAGGGAAAGGAGCAAUCCGCUGAUAGAUGGGCUUGCGUCUGAUUAGAUAGUUGGUGGGGUAACGGCCUACCAAGUCGACGAUCAGUAGCCGGACUGAGAGGUUGAACGGCCACAUUGGGACUGAGAUACGGCCCAGACUCCUACGGGAGGCAGCAGUCGGGAAUAUUGCGCAAUGGAGGAAACUCUGACGCAGUGACGCCGCGUGCAGGAAGAAGGUUUUCGGAUUGUAAACUGCUUUAGACAGGGAAGAUAAUGACAGUACCUGUAGAAUAAGCUCCGGCUAACUACGUGCCAGCAGCCGCGGUAAUACGUAGGGAGCAAGCGUUAUCCGGAUUUAUUGGGUGUAAAGGGUGCGUAGACGGGAAGGCAAGUUAGUUGUGAAAUCCCUCGGCUUAACUGAGGAACUGCAACUAAAACUAUCUUUCUUGAGUGCUGGAGAGGAAAGUGGAAUUCCUAGUGUAGCG
rnacentral:rRNA from 1 species